CUUACAGGAAGUGGCCUGUCUGACCAUUUCUUGCCCUCCUUGAUCAUCUCUAACAAAUACAGGGGAUCUCUAGCAUGACGUGACACUUCCUACGGCUCCCAUGGGCUCUCAGAAGGCGGGAAAAAGCUGAACGAUGUAAUUCCAUCCCCAGGCUGAAACACAUUAGCGUGUUUGGCAAGUGCUCUAUCAGAGGGCCAUCAGACUGAGGCUCGUGCAUGAGGGGAUAGCAUGCUUUUACUUUCACUCUCUUUGUAAUAAAAAACGAUUUCCCGGUCGGAAUAUUAUCGCUUUUUUACAAGAAAAAUGGCAUAAAAAUUGAUUUUAAACAGCGGUUGACAUGCUUCGAAGUACGGUAAUGGAAUAUUUAGAAUUUUUUUGUCACGAAAUGCGCCGUGCUCGUAACCCUUCUUUACCCUUUCGGAUAGUGUCUUGAACGCACGAACAAAACGCCUCUAUUUGGAUAUAACAAUGGAUUAUUUGGGACCAAACCAACAUUUGUUAUUGAAGUAGAAGUCCUGGGAGUGCAUUCUGACGAAGAACAGCAAAGGAUGUUGGCGGGCGGAGCUGGGAGGGUCGUCAGCGACAUGGGACACACCUGGGCCCGGGUGUGUCCCGGGAUAAAUACACCUCGUCCCCAUUCAUUGAGGAGACUCUCUCCAUGCAGACAUACUUUUAGAUUUUGACCUCGAGCCAGUUCGUGACAAGGAGAUAACCAUUGAUAAGUACCAAUUGUUGUCAAUCUCAGGGCUCGUGCACGACAUUGGCUAUUUGCUUUUCAAAACGCCCCUAAUUAGCCAUACAUGGUCAAAAUCAUCCCUUUAAAGCCUGCAAGGAAUAUACAACGCCGAACCAUAAAAUACUAAGUCGCAGCCCAAAAAAAAGCUAUGAAAAAGGAAUGUGUAGUGUCAGAGGUUGAGUACAACCGUAAGGUUUGAUUUGGCUCACUCAGUUGUGGCUUGACCAGUAAAAAUAAAAAGAUGGUUACAAAGAGAGGACCGUUAGAUGCUUUAGCAAUGACAAAUCAUCUUCAAAUGAGUAGGCAGCACUCACCAAUAAGCUAUCCAUCCUCAACAGCUUCCUGCUGUAGGCCA
rnacentral:lncRNA from 1 species